CCCAGGGCAGCUCGUGGCCAGAGCCAAGGCUCCCACACGAGGGCCCAAUUUGGUGGUUGGGGCACACGUGCUGCUGCUCAUGGCGCUUCUGUUGGAGCCGCACCUGGUGUGGGGGGAGGGCAGAGAUGUGUCCCUCGGGCGCCUGCGCGGGGUGGUGAGCUAAUCCCAUGCACCUGGUACCUGCGAGGAAGCUGCUUCCUGCGCACUUAGCGCUUGGGGUCUGACGGAGACCUCUGCUUUUCUCCUGUUCCAGGUCUUGAGGGCUCUGAAGACUGGCACCUGCCAUCCCAAGCACCUCCAGAGGACUGGGCCUUCCUCUACCUGUGCUGGAGAUGCCAUUCCUUCUGUCUGGACCAGCCUCCAGGUACUGCUGCCACCACUACUGCACCUGCUCUCAAGCGGAGUCGUGCUGGAAGACAGCCCAGCUCAUCGUUCCUGAUUAGCCCACCUUCAAGGCCUAACAAAGGAUUUGAAGCUACCACAGAAACCUCGCACCAUCCCAGCGGAGUCACACGUCCCGGACACGGCCGGGAGCACCGCCGUGAGCUCUGUCCUCUGUGACUUCAGCCACAGGAGCCACCGCUCGGCAGCUCAGGACACGGGUCACCUGCUCAGGGAGGCACCGGGCCCCUGGGCCCUUCUCCAACCUCCGCCGUCAGGCCUCCGGGCCCACUCCAGGCGCACUGCCUUUUAGGCUGUUUCUUAUAGGCCGCGACGCUGCACAAAGGCAAGUGUAUGUUCUCGCGCCGGUGCCUCUCCUACAAGGGCCUCAGCAGCUUGGGCCCGCCUCGGGGGCAGCGACGUUUGUCCCCAAUACCCAGUUGUCACCACAGGUAAGUCAAGAUUAUAAUCAC